GGCGUCCGAGUUGUAAUCUAUAGAGACGUUUUCCGUGCCGGACCGUGUCCAAGUCCCUUGGAACAGGGUAUCAAAGAGGGUGACAAUCCCGUACUUGACACGACGACCGGUGCUCUGUGAUACGUUUUCUACGAGUCGAGUUGUUUGGGAAUGCAGCUCAAAAUGGGUGGUAAAUUCCAUCUAAAGCUAAAUAUAGGCGAGAGACCGAUAGCGAACAAGUACCGUGAGGGAAAGAUGAAAAGCACUUUGGAAAGAGAGUUAAACAGUAUGUGAAAUUGUUGAAAGGGAAACGAUUGAAGUCAGUCAUGUCCAUUGGAUUCAGCUGGUUCUGCCAGUGUAUUUCCUUUGGACGGGUCAACAUCAGUUUGAGCCGACGGAUAAUGGCAGAGGGAAUGUGGCACCCCCGGGUGUGUUAUAGCCCUUUGUCGCAUACGUCGGCCCAGACUGAGGAAUGCAGCUCGCCUUUAUGGCCGGGGUUCGCCCACGUACGAGCUUAGGAUGUUGGCAUAAUGGCUUUAAACGACCCGUCUUG
rnacentral:rRNA from 1 species